CCCACUUAUUUUAUACCCUCACAUUCUACAAGGNCAUGUUUAUUUGGUUUUAGGUUGGGGUGACCACGGAGUACAAAAUAACCUCCAUGAAAAAAGGAUUAAUAAUCUUUAUCAGAGAAAUACACUUCCAAGAAUUAACAAAUUAAUUUUUAAUGAUCCGAUAUUCGAUCAACGAACCAAGUUACCCUGGGGAUAACAGCGCAAUCCACCUCAAGAGCUCCUAUCGACAGGUGGGUUUACGACCUCGAUGUUGGAUCAGGGUAUCCGAGUGGUGCAGCAGCUACUAAUGGUUCGUUUGUUCAACGAUUUAAACCCU
rnacentral:rRNA from 1 species